ACAUCACAAUACCCCAUAAUGACAACACAACACCCCUGAAAGAUGAGUGGAAUCUGUGUGGGUAGCUGGACAGGUAGAAUGACUGACAGUGAAGGUGAACAGGUGGUCAGGGGUCAGGUGACAGAGGAAUGGAUGAGACUGAGGCAGGAAUUCCUUUAACCAUAAAGUGGUAUAUUUACUGGGUAGUCUGUGCUGCAUAACAAAGGAAACAGAAUAGCAUGUAUCCAAUCAAAUUCAUGAUCACAAAGGUCAAAUCAUAACAAUCAUUCUCAUUAUUAACAUAAUUAGGUAAAUCAGCAAUUCAGUUCAAUAAGAAGUGUGUGAGGAAGGAAGGAAGGAAGGAAGGAAGGAAGGAAGGAAGGAAGGAAGGAAGGAAGGAAGUAUUCCAGAUAUAAAGCAGGUAGUCCAUGUUUAAGGACCUAGAGGAAGAAAUGGACCUUACGGGUAGAAGACUGAAACAUUUGAGCUGAGUGAGCUGUGACUUACAUCUAAAAUGAGCCUCUCUGGGGAGAGAGAGGAGACCACUGCCUCUAAAAUGAGUCUCUCUGGGGAACGAGAGGAGGGGACCACUGCCUCUAAA